ensembl:lncRNA C1RL-AS1 C1RL antisense RNA 1
AGAUGGCAGCCCCGGAGGCGCUGGUGGGAGGCUGUGUCCUGGGGUCCACCACUGCUCCCCGAACUCUUAGGGUCACCUGGAGCACCUUGGGAGCCAGAGAUGCAGCCAAAGAGUGAACAAUGGUACCAAUCCCAAGACCCAUGUGUUAAGAAGAAACCAGCCAAGACUCAGAUCAGGAUUGGGGAGUCCACCCCUCGUUUCCCUUCAGAGCAUUAUUUCCUUGUUUGCUAAGAGGGGCAGGAACUGGAAAACUCAGGCUAGCCCAUCUGAGAAGACUUUCCUGGAGAUGAGCUGGAGGAGGGAGGAGUAAGGCCUUGGAAGGAAACUCCAGGACAGACCUCCACUAUGAGAAGCGCUAAAGAAAGUUCUUUAGGACGGGCACGAUAGCUCACGCCUAUAAUCCCAGCAUUUUGGGAGGCCAAGGUGGGAGGAUUGCUUGAGCUCGGAAGAUGGAGGCUGCAGUGAGCCAUGACGGUGCCACUGCACUCCAGCUUGGGUGACAGAGUGAGACGCUGUCUCAAAUUGGAAGAGCAGAGCUGCAGACAGGAAUAAGAAGAACGGUAAAUUUGAAG